rnacentral:rRNA from 1 species
UACGUAGGUGGCAAGCGUUAUCCGGAUUUAUUGGGCGUAAAGGGAACGCAGGCGGUCUUUUAAGUCUGAUGUGAAAGCCCUCGGCUUAACCGGAGUAGUGCAUUGGAAACUGGGAGACUUGAGUGCAGAAGAGGAGAGUGGAACUCCAUGUGUAGCGGUGAAAUGCGUAGAUAUAUGGGAGAACACCAGUGGCGAAAGCGGCUCUCUGGUCUGUAACUGACGCUGAGGUUCGAAAGCGUGGGUAGCAAACAGG